rnacentral:rRNA from 1 species
AUUGAACGCUGGCGGCAGGCCUAACACAUGCAAGUCGAACGGUAACAGGAAGCAGCUUGCUGCUUUGCUGACGAGUGGCGGACGGGUGAGGAAUGUCUGGGAAACUGCCCGAUGGAGGGGGAUAACUACUGGAAACGGUAGCUAAUACCGCAUAAAGUCGCAAGACCAAAGAGGGGGACCUUAGGGCCUCUUGCCAUCGGAUGUGCCCAGAUGGGAUUAGCUAGUAGGUGGGGGAACGGCUCACCUAGGCGACGAUCCCUAGCUGGUCUGAGAGGAUGACCCGCCACACUGGAACUGAGACACGGUCCAGACUCCUACGGGAGGCAGCAGUGGGGAAUCUUGCACAAUGGGCGCAAGCCUGAUGCAGCCAUGCCGCGUGUAUGAUGAAGGCCUUCGGGUUGUAAAGUACUUUCAGCGGGGAGGAAGGGAGUAAAGUUAAUACCUUUGCUCAUUGACGUUACCCGCAGAAGAAGCACCGGCUAACUCCGUG